rnacentral:rRNA from 1 species
GAUGAACGCUGGCGGCGUGCCUAAUACAUGCAAGUCGAGCGAACAGACGAGGAGCUUGCUCCUCUGACGUUAGCGGCGGACGGGUGAGUAACACGUGGAUAACCUACCUAUAAGACUGGGAUAACUUCGGGAAACCGGAGCUAAUACCGGAUAAGAUAUUGAACCGCAUGGUUCAAUAGUGAAAGACGGUUUUGCUGUCACGUAUAGAUGGAUCCGCGCCGCAUUAGCUAGUUGGUAAGGUAACGGCUUACCAAGGCGACGAUGCGUAGCCGACCUGAGAGGGUGAUCGGCCACCUUGGAACUGAGACACGGUCCAGACUCCUACGGGAGGCAGCAGUAGGGAAUCUUCCGCAAUGGGCGAAAGCCUGACGGAGCAACGCCGCGUGAGUGAUGAAGGUCUUCGGAUCGUAAAACUCUGUUAUUAGGGAAGAACAAAUGUGUAAGUAACUAUGCACGUCUUGACGGUACCUAAUCAGAAAGCCACGGCUAACUACGUG